rnacentral:rRNA from 1 species
AGGCAAUGCCAGCCUGGCAGCCUCUGAGAACAAUAUCUAGUGUUGUAUCGCAUUGUUCACAAUAAGAAUGAUAUUGUUGCACAGGUGCUCAGUUCAUUCCCGCCGGAUAUGUCUUUCAGGAGGGACUUGAUUGGCCCGUGUCUUAUGUCAUGGCAAAACCUAUUAUCCCGAUUGGAUUCAAUUAAGCUGACACAAGGACAGAUUAUGUUUCGUUGGAAUCUCACUACAUCUGGGUCCUUCACAGUUGACUCUAUGUACCGUGCACUCGCGCAUUCAGAGGUCCUAGUGGAUAAUAACAUGAAAAGUUGGAAGUCGAAGAUUCUACUAAAAAUAAUUUUUUCAUGUGGUAUCUUCAAAGGGGAGUUGUGCUAA